rnacentral:rRNA from 1 species
GCCUACGGGGGGCAGCAGUGAGGAAUAUUGGUCAAUGGCCGAGAGGCUGAACCAGCCAAGUCGCGUGAGGGAAGACGGCCCUACGGGUUGUAAACCUCUUUUGUCGGGGAGCAAAGCGAGUCACGUGUGACUCAUUGAGAGUACCCGAAGAAAAAGCAUCGGCUAACUCCGUGCCAGCAGCCGCGGUAAUACGGAGGAUGCGAGCGUUAUCCGGAUUUAUUGGGUUUAAAGGGUGCGUAGGCGGAAUGCCAAGUCAGCGGUAAAAUCGCGGGGCUCAACCUCGCUCCGCCGUUGAAACUGGCGUU